rnacentral:rRNA from 1 species
GAGGGGAAUAUUGGGCAAUGGGCGAAAGCCUGACCCAGCAACGCCGCGUGAAGGAAGAAGGUUUUCGGAUCGUAAGCUUCUAUCCUUGGUGAAGAUAAUGACGGUAGCCAAGAAGGAAGCCCCGGCUAACUACGUGCCAGCAGCCGCGGUAAUACGUAGGGGGCAAGCGUUGUCCGGAAUGAUUGGGCGUAAAGGGCGCGUAGGCGGCCCGGUAAGUCCGAAGGGAAAGUCCUGCUUUUAAGGUGGGAAUUGCUUUGGAUACUGUCGGGCUUGAGUGCAGGAGAGGUAAGCGGAAUGCGCGGGGUAGCGGUGAAAUGCGUAGAGAUCGGGAGGAACACCAGUGGCGAAGGCGGCUUACUGGACUGUAACUGACGCUGAGGCGCGAAAGUGUGGGGAGCAAACAGGAUUAGAUACCCGAGUAGUCC